GUUGAACGCUAGCUACAGGCUUAACACAUGCAAGUCGAGGGACCGGCGCACGAGUGAGUAACACGUAUCCAACCUGCCCUUUACUCGGAGAUCGCCUUUCGAUAGAAAGAUUAAUACCCGAUCUAAAGGACAGGGAUGCGUUCCAUUUGGUUGUUGGUGAGGGAACGCCUAACCAAGCCUUCGAUGGAGAGGGGUUCUGAGAGGAAGCUCCCCCGGAUUUGAACUGCGACACGGUCCAAACUCGUACGGGAGGGUGGAGUGAGGAGUAUAGGGCGAUGAGGGCUAGCCUGAACCUGCCGAGUAGCGGGAAGGAGGAUUGGGUAUGGGUGGUAAUCUUCUGGUAUAGAAGAAUAUGUAUUAGAUGAAUAAGGAUCGGCUAACUCCGUGCCAGCAGCCGCGGUAAUAC
rnacentral:rRNA from 1 species